GAAACAAAGUGUAUGACCUUCACUAAGGAAAUAAUUGACUAAAUGGUGGAAGAUUAAGCAACGCAGGCUAUUAUACAGCUAAAAGGGGUCCAUAAAACUGCAUGAGCCUUUUGUUCAGUGAGAUCCACCUGGCCCUUGACCUCCCCCUGACCCUUGACCUGUACCCUGUUCCAUGGGAAAGUGGAGCAGAAGGGGUCAGUGCUUUCUCUGGUUUUAGCCAUCGUGGUCUUUCAGCUUUGCCCUCCUGCAUGUGUUAGCUUUAUCCUCAGGAUGAUGGUGAGAUGGCCCUAGUAGUUCUAUCACCAGCUAGACCCAAGACCUGACCUUUACUGCUCACCUGUUUGUACCCAGCCACCUUUGUUCCAAGUUUUUCCUUCUUUCCAGCUUAUCUCUUAACUCAGGCAAGAGACCUGAGGGAAACCGAAGCUACCCCUCAAGCAGUAAUGACUGCCUGGAGGAGGAGCUCCACAGCCCCAGACCACCCAGACCAGUUUGAACUUAACUACUUAACUGCCCCUCCCCUUAAGUGUAUAAUACAUUAUUAGCUAUAGUCACCAAGCUGUACAGUAGGUCUCCAGAACUUAUUCAUCUCAUAACAAAAUGUGUACCUUCAACUAACAAAGAUAUUAUGAUUCAAGUCAACAUUUACACAACACAUAUUUGCCCUUUGUGUCAGCCUCCCCUUGAAAUUUGCUCAGAGUAGAUCUUAAGUGUUCUUACCACACACAUACACACACACACACACACACACACAGUAACUAUUGAGGUGAUGGAUAUGUUAAUUAGCUUGAUUGUGGUAAUUACACAAUAUAUAUCAAAACAACAUGUUGUACAUCUGCUAUGGUCUGAUGUUUGUGUCCCCCUGCAAAUUCAUGUGUUCAAAUCCGAGUGCCCAAUGUGGUAGUAUUAGGAGGUGGGGGCUUCAUGCUUACGUCAUGAAGGUAAAGCCCUUAUGAAUGGGAUUAGUGCCCUUGUAAAAGAGCCCAGAGAGCUAGCUUGCCUCUUCCGCUGUGUAAGCUGACACCUAGAAGGCACAGUCUAUGAACUAGGAGAUGGGUUCUCACCAGACACUACAUCUGCUAGUGCCAUGAUCUUGAACUUCCCAGCCUCCAGAAUUGUGAGAAAUAAAUGUUUGUUGUUUAUAAGACACCCAAUUUCUGGCAUUUUUUGUCAUAGGAGCCUGAAUGGACAACACCUUAAAUAUGUACAAUUUUUAUUUGUCAAUCACACCUCAA